UAGUUUGAUCAUGGCUCAGAUUGAACGCUGGCGGUACGCUUAACACAUGCAAGUCGAACGGUAACAGCAAGAGCUUGCUCUUGGCUGACGAGUGGCGGACGGGUGAGUAACGCGUGGGAAUCUACCCAUUAGUCGGGGACAACCUGGUGAAAACCAGGCUAAUACCGGAUGUGGUCUACGGACUAAAGUAGGGGAUCUUCGGACCUUACGCUAUUGGAUGAGCCCGCGUUGCAUUAGCUUGUUGGUGGGGUAAUGGCCUACCAAGGCGACGAUGCAUAGCUGGUCUGAGAGGACGAUCAGCCACACUGGGACUGAGACACGGCCCAGACUCCUACGGGAGGCAGCAGUGGGGAAUAUUGGACAAUGGGCGCAAGCCUGAUCCAGCAAUACCGCGUAUGUGAAGAAGGCCCGAGGGUUGUAAAGCACUUUCAAUUGUGAAGAAAAGUUAUCGGUUAAUACCCGAUAGCCUUGACGUUAACUUUAGAAGAAGCACCGGCUAACUCCGUGCCAGCAGCCGCGGUAAUACGGAGGGUGCGAGCGUUAAUCGGAAUUACUGGGCGUAAAGCGUGCGUAGGCGGUUGCCUAAGUCAGAUGUGAAAGCCCCGGGCUUAACCUGGGAACUGCAUUUGAAACUGGGUAACUAGAGUGUGGUAGAGGAAGGUAGAAUUCCUAGUGUAGCGGUGAAAUGCGUAGAUAUUAGGAGGAAUACCAGUGGCGAAGGCGGCCUUCUGGACCAACACUGACGCUGAGGUACGAAAGCGU
rnacentral:rRNA from 1 species